rnacentral:misc_RNA from 1 species
ACCUUAUCAAUUUUAUGCCCAUACUUUUCUGGUCCAGGGAAAAUAACAUUUCUUAGCAUAUAUAAACUCUCCUCGUUGGGGCCUUAACCACUUCAAGAAUGAGAUCUCUUUUGCUGAAAGGGCAUUUUGUUUUCUUCCAACACCUUGAGGAAGUUAGACAGGAUAAUGGAAUCAUUGCAUCUAUCUCUUUCAAUCAACCAUUCCUCCUGAAGAUGAACAUCAACAUCCCUCUUCAGUGCCAGAACCUCAUAAUUCCUGCGCAAAAAAUCAGCAUGUUUUG